AUCAGAUCAAAAUUCUGGAGGAGAAUUUCACCAGAGUCAGCAAGCAUCCGGAUGAGUCGACACUCAUGUUAAUCGCAGCUGAAAGCGGACUAACCGAGGAAGAGACAGCGGAUUCACAAUUACACCUUUGGUGUUGUUUUGGAGGAAGACAUGUGAGCUGGGUUCAUUUUAUAUGAAAGUUUCAGAAAUGGUUCAGGCUACGCAACGCACGGUGGAGACAGGCAGAGGGCCUUCCAGCUCAACUGGGAUCAGUGAAAGACUGAAAUUGGAGUGGUGAAGGAAACCUCCCCCUCACCCCGUUGCUUCUCUGACUGAUCUGCCACGCCCUUACCGACCAACUCCCAGGACACAUCAACCACUCAUACCUUCCUUCCAUCAUUCUCUCUCCUUUGUAUCUAAGCUAUUUUCAUUUAGUGAAUGUGUGAAGUGUAAUGCGAGUCAAUGUUUUUUGCCAAUAUAAUUGGCAUGUUUACAUAUAAUAAUAAAUAAACAAACAUAUAUUACAAAUGA